ensembl:lncRNA
UUUGGGUUAUGGAUGGAGAGAGAGAGAGUACAGUUUGGGUUAUGGAUGGAGAGAGAGUACGGUUUGGGUUAUGGAUGGAGAGAGUACAGUUUGGGUUAUGGAUGGAGAGAGAGAGAGUACAGUUUGGGUUAUGGAUGGAGAGAGAGAGUACAGUUUGGGUUAUGGAUGGAGAGAGAGAGAGUACAGUUUGGGUUAUGGAUGGAGAGAGAGAGAGUACAGUUUGGGUUAUGGAUAGAGAGAGAGAGAGUACAGUUUGGGUUAUGGAUGGAGAGAGAGAGUAUGGUUUGGGUUAUGGAUGGAGAGAGAGAGAGUAGAGUACAGUUUGGGUUAUGGAUGGAGAGAGAGAGUACGGUUUGGGUUAUGGAUAGAGAGAGAGAGAGUACGGUUUGGGUUAUGGAUGAGAGAGAGAGUACGGUUUGGGUUAUGGAUGGAGAGAGAGAGUACGGUUUGGGUUAUGGAUGGAGAGAGAGAGAGUUCGGUUUGGGUUAUGGAUGGAGAGAGAGAGUACGGUUUAGGUUAUGGAUGGAGAGAGAGAGAGUAUGAUUUGGGUUAUGGAUGGAGAGAGAAAGUGAAAAACAAUGAGAAUUAAAACUUCUAGAUCUGAAUGGGCACCUUCACAUGUUUAGUUACAACAGAAUUUAGGAACUCAAAGAACUCCGACUGACAAAGACAGAUAUUGUAAACUUACCAAAAACAAUUCAAACUUGAAAACCCCCUGUGAGUUCAGAGACACACACUAACAGUUAUGUGCUAGUACUAUACAAAUACACACAUAAUCACUCACUUCACACUGUAUGCUCUCUCAAAUACAGACCGACAGACCGACAGACAGACAGACAGACAGAC